rnacentral:rRNA from 1 species
AAGGCAACUUUCUGGAUCAUUACUGACACUGAGGAGCGAAAGCAUGGGUAGCGAAGAGGAUUAGAUACCCUCGUAGUCCAUGCUGUAAACGAUGUGUGCUAGACGUUGGAAAUUUAGUUUUCAGUGUCGCAGCAAAAGCGUUAAGCACACCGCCUGGGGAGUACGACCGCAAGGUUAAAACUCAAAUGAAUUGACGGGGACCCGCACAAGUAGUGGAGCAUGUGGUUUAAUUCGAAGAUACGCGCAGAACCUUACCAACACUUGACAUGUUCGUCGCGACUCUAAGAGAUUAGAGUUUUCGGUUCGGCCGGACGAAACACAGGUGCUGCAUGGCUGUCGUCAGCUCGUGUCGUGAGAUGUUGGGUUAAGUCCCGCAACGAGCGCAACCCUUACUUUUAGUUGCUACCAUUUAGUUGGGCACUCUAAAAGAACUGCCAGUGAUAAGCUGGAGGAAGGCGGGGAUGACGUCAAGUCCUCAUGGCCCUUACGUGUUGGGCUACACACGUGCUACAAUGGUACUCACAGUGAGAAGCGAAGAGGCGACUCUAAGCCAAUCCCAAAAAAGUACCUCAGUUCGGAUUGUACUCUGCAACUCGAGUACAUGAAGCUGGAAUUACUAGUAAUCGCGGAUCAGCGCGCCGCGGUGAAUACGUUCCCGGGUCUUGUACACACCGCCCGUCACACCAUGGAAGUUGGUUACACCUUAAGGCAAGGCAUAAAAACUUUGACUACGGUACGAUCAGCAACUGGGGUGAAGUCGUAACAAGGUAGCCGUAGGGGAACCUGCGGCUG